rnacentral:lncRNA from 12 species
CUGACACAAGCUGGCCCCAGGCAGCCCUCGCUGCUCAGCUCGUGUUUUGGCACCUGUGAUAGUGACUUAGAACAAACUUUGCAAAUCUAAGCCAACAGCCCUGCCAACAAAUGACACUGACACUUUUCAUCCCAGUCGGGGUUUAUUUCUAUCAGAGAAGGCACAGCAGGAGGUGACAGUGCUCUGAGCAGGAGCUCUUUGUCACAAGGAGCUCCUCGCAGGAGGAUGGGCUCCAGAACCUUGCCACAUCCACCAUGUGAUGGAAGAACUCUGCAGAGCCAAAGACUGUGGCCCCAGGAAGCAAGCACAGCCAGCAGAAGACCAAAAUAAUCUGUAUGUUUAAUUUAAGUACAUAUAUAUGCUGGCCACCAAUAUUAACAGACACUCAGAAAGGCAGAAUACAG